ensembl:lncRNA LINC02436 long intergenic non-protein coding RNA 2436
GAUUGUCCUGAGUUCCAGAGCCUCAAAGAGCACCCAGCAUAACUGUGGGAGAAUAGUAAGCAUUGGACACAAAAUGGAAAAGCUGACCUUCUGGUACGGAAGAGCAUGAGCAGUGAGUGAGCAGUGCCCAUGCGUUGUGAGGCGGCCUCCAUGGUAUAAGGUUUAGGCAAAUAAUGAUGAACAAAAAUGGUCAGUCUGUGUUCCUGCUGACCCAGCACAGUGGGGACGCUGUGUAGGACAUGACCUUUGGGGGAAAGGACACAAGAACUCAGCGUGGGGGAUCCAGAAAAGAAGUCGCACGUAUUGAAGCCAGUAACGCCAAGCCAGUGAAUUCUCCUUGACGAGAAAGACCCACUUACUCUGCAGAAGAGAUAUAUGACAGCUGACAAUCCCUGGAGGAGAAUCUUUCUACUAAAUUGUUGAAAACAUUCAAGUACGGAAUAAACUAUUACUGCGAAUACGCUCAUAUGACACAAGAACAAUCUCUGAGCUUCUUUGAGGAUGUCCAGAUGACUGCUGACUGCACUAAUUGCAUCAAUCGUGUAUCCAUACAGGUUCUUUCUAUAAAAUAGUGGUCGCUAGUUAUGAGGCGUUAAGCCUUCAUGGAUAUAAACAGACUAUUCCACCUAAGUGAUCUGGCAGAAGCUUAGUUUUCUACCACAACAUCCACCGUCCUCCCUCCCUCCCUUCCUAGCUGGUCAGAAAAGCUACUCAGAAUAAAGACUACAUUUCCCAGCCAUCUUUGCAGCUAGGUUUAUCCACCUGACUAAAUUCCACCGAACUGAUCCGAGAGGACAGGGAAGUCAGUGUGGGCGGCUCUAAGGAGCCUCCCUCUCUACAGCUGCGGCUCAGAGGAUUACGGCGCUUCAUCCACAAGGCAACAUUGCACAAGUAGCUUUUGAACAAAAGUCAUGGAUACUAUUAAUGAUAUGUUCCCACACACAUUUAGUGUCGUCUCAAAAUUCACGCUGUCAACUGUCUCUAGGAAUCAUUUCCAUCUGAGAACAGACCACACAAAGGUUUAGUGCAACUAGGGACUAAACACCAGUCAUCUCCAGGACUUGACUUCAUCAUUUGCCUGUUCACCAUUGUAUCCCUAGAAUCUGUAACAACAACCAGAAGGUACUCAAUAAAUAUUUAAUCAAUGAACAAA